UCGAGAAUUUUUCACAAUGGGGGAAACCCUGAUGGAGCGACGCCGCGUGGGGGAUGAAUGGCUUCGGCCCGUAGACCCCUGUCAUUCGCGAUCAAAGCGCAUUAUUUAAAAGAUGAUGUGUUGAUAGUAGCGGAAGAGGAAGGGACGGCUAACUCUGUGCCAGCAGCCGCGGUAAUACAGAGGUCCCGAGCGUUGUUCGGAUUCACUGGGCGUAAAGGGUGCGUAGGUGGUGAGGUAAGUCGGAUGUGAAAGCUCGGAGCUCAACUCCGAAAUGGCAUUGGAAACUACCUUGCUGGAGGGUUGGAGGGGGGACUGGAAUUCUCGGUGUAGCAGUGAAAUGCGUAGAUAUCGAGAGGAACACCAGUGGCGAAGGCGAGUCCCUGGACAACACCUGACACUGAGGCACGAAAGCUAGGGGAGCAAACAGGAUUAGAUACCCUGGUAGUCCUAGCCGUAAACGGUGCGUGCUUGCUGUAAAAGG
rnacentral:rRNA from 1 species